AAUUGUUUAUAGUCGGUGCUCUUUCUUUAUGCACCAAGCUCUCAGAGUUGCACACCAAAGCUCCUGAACAUAGCUUUGCCUACACGAAGAAAACUAUCGAACUAGCGUUUGGCCGCAAGCUCCCGGAGAUUUUUGAUAAUUUUGAAGAGAAACCAGUUAGCAUCUGGAAGUAUUGCUCAAGGGCAUGGAGCUGGUCAACAGGUGAAGCCCAUAGUAGUUGCCGUAAAGCUUAGGCAUCCUGGUGUUUGUGAAUCGAUUAGGAGAGAUUUCGUUAUAAUCAAUCUGGUAGCAAAAAUUUCAAACUUCAUUCCUGCUUUAAAGUGGUGGAGAUUGGAUGAGAGUGUACAGCAGGUUGCAGUUUUUAUCAUGUCUCAAGUUGAUCUUGCAAGGGAAGCUGCCCAUUUGUGCAUCCUGCUGUUUUGGUGGAAACUUAUUAACAACAAGUGGAGGAGGCAUCGGCUUUCUGGGGUACUCCAGAAGGUGAUCUGGUCCAUCCUGCUGAGUGUAUGCAACAGUUACUGGAGAAAGUUAGGCGUCAUAGAGUCAAUGUCGAUGGCAAUGUCUGUACUGUCAUGGGAUGGCAGCGGAAACUUGAUCCCGGGUACAAUGUGAUGCAAACACUGCUUCUCAAAGCUGACUAAGGGGCUAAUGGCUCCAUAAGAAGUUCUCCUCUAUUCUAGAUGUGUUCACGGUGGUUCUAAUCAUUCUGCAAAAGUAGAGCCAGCCAAUGGUUGUACAGGUAAAAGGGAAACUGGGAAGUCUGCAAAGAAACCUGAUAAAGGAAGGACUGCAAAGGAGGAGGCACGUGAGUUACAACUUAGGGAGAGGAGGCAUCCAUACGGGAGACGGUCCGAGAAAUACAGAAAAAUCUAUCUUCCAUACUUAAAGCACUUGGGGAAAUGUCCAUUGCUAAUCCUAUUUUGGCACACAGUCAGCUUCCUUCCCUGAUAUGUUCUGGAAGCCUGAACUUGUGGAAUGUUUCUUAUUUGUAUUUAACUAGUUUAUUAAGAUACUGAAUAUCUUU